GACGUAGGGGGCCAGCGUUGUUCGGAAUUACUGGGUGUAAAGGGUUCGUAGGCGGUGUGGCAAGUCGGGUGUGAAAGCCCCGGGCUCAACCUGGGAAUUGCAUUCGAGACUGAAUAGCUAGGGUACGGUAGAGGGAAGUGGAAUUUCCGGUGUAGCGGUGAAAUGCGUAGAUAUCGGAAGGAACAUCAGUGGCGAAGGCGGUUCUCUGGGACGGUACUGACGCUGAGACGCGAAAGCGUGGGGAGCGAACAGG
rnacentral:rRNA from 1 species